GACGAACGCUGGCGGCGUGCCUAAUACAUGCAAGUCGAGCGAGCGAAACUAACUGAUCCCUCCGGGGUGACGGCAGCGGACCUAGCGGCGGCAGGGUGAGUAACACGUGGGCAACCUGCCUGUAAGACUGGGAUAACGCGCGGAAACGCGAGCUAAUACCGGACGAUACUUUGCACUGCAUGAAUCGGAGAUGAAAGUCGGCGCAAGCUGUCACUGACAGAUGGGCCCGCGGCGCAUUAGCUAGUUGGUGAGGUAACGGCUCACCAAGGCGACGAUGCGUAGCCGACCUGAGAGGGUGAUCGGCCACACUGGGACUGAGACACGGCCCAGACUCCUACGGGAGGCAGCAGUAGGGAAUCUUCCGCAAUGGACGAAAGUCUGACGGAGCAACGCCGCGUGAGUGAUGAAGGUUUUCGGAUCGUAAAACUCUGUUGUUAGGGAAGAACAAGUGCGUAAGUAACUGCUCGUACCUUGACGGUACCUAACCAGAAAGCCCCGGCUAACUACGUG
rnacentral:rRNA from 1 species